GAUGAACGCUGGCGGCGUGCCUAAUACAUGCAAGUCGAGCGAAUGGAUUAAGAGCUUGCUCUUAUGAAGUUAGCGGCGGACGGGUGAGUAACACGUGGGUAACCUGCCCAUAAGACUGGGAUAACUCCGGGAAACCGGGACUAAUACCGGAUAAUAUUUUGAACUGCAUGGUUCAAAAUUGAAAGGCGGCUUCGGCUGUCACUUAUGGAUGGACCCGCGUCGCAUUAGCUAGUUGGUGAGGUAACGGCUCACCAAGGCAACGAUGCGUAGCCGACCUGAGAGGGUGAUGGGACACACUGGGACGGAGACACGGCCCAGACUCCUACGGGAGGCAGCAGUAGGGAAUCUUCCGCAAUGGACGAAAGUCUGACGGAGCAACGCCGCGUGAGUGAUGAAGGCUUUCGGGUCGUAAAACUCUGUUGUUAGGGAAGAACAAGUGCUAGUUGAAUAAGCUGACACCUUGACGGUACCUAACCAGAAAGCCACGGCUAACUACGUGCCAGCCGCCGCGGUAA
rnacentral:rRNA from 1 species